rnacentral:rRNA from 1 species
UACGUAGGUGGCAAGCGUUACCCGGAUUUAUUGGGCGUAAAGGGAACGCAGGCGGUCUUUUAAGUCUGAUGUGAAAGCCUUCGGCUUAACCGGAGUAGUGCAUUGGAAACUGGGAGACUUGAGUGCAGAAGAGGAGAGUGGAACUCCAUGUGUAGCGGUGAAAUGCGUAGAUAUAUGGAAGAACACCAGUGGCGAAAGCGGCUCUCUGGUCUGUAACUGACGCUGAGGUUCGAAAGCGUGGGUAGCAAAUAGG